CCCGCUGAACUUAAGCAUAUCAAUAAGCGGAGGAAAAGAAACCAACAGGGAUUGCCCUAGUAACGGCGAGUGAAGCGGCAACAGCUCAAAUUUGAAAUCUGGCGCAAGCCCGAGUUGUAAUUUGUAGAGGAUGCUUCUAGGUAGCGACCGGUCUAAGUUCCUUGGAACAGGACGUCAUAGAGGGUGAGAAUCCCGUAUGUGACCGGCCCGCACCUUCUACGUAGCUCCUUCGACGAGUCGAGUUGUUUGGGAAUGCAGCUCUAAAUGGGAGGUAAAUUUCUUCUAAAGCUAAAUACCGGCCAGAGACCGAUAGCGCACAAGUAGAGUGAUCGAAAGAUGAAAAGCACUUUGGAAAGAGAGUUAAAAAGCACGUGAAAUUGUUGAAAGGGAAGCGCUUACAACCAGACUUCUGGGCGGUGUUCCGCCGGUCUUUUGACCGGUCUACUCACCGUCCCGAGGCCAACAUCAUCUGGGACCGCCGGAUAAGACCUUAGGAAUGUAGCUCCCCUCGGGGAGUGUUAUAGCCUGUGGUGAUGCGGCGAGUCUCGGGUGAGGUCCGCGCUUCGGCAAGGAUGUUGGCGUAAUGGUUGUCAGCGGCCCGUCUUGAAACACGG
rnacentral:rRNA from 1 species